AACGCAACUUGCGCCCUUUGGUAUUCCGAAGGGCAUGCCUGUUUGAGUGUCAUAUAAACCUCAUCUCUACUGUUUUUCAUUAGACAUGUGGACUGGUGCUUUGGGCGUCUGCCGUUUACUCUGGCUCGCCUCAAAUGUUUAAGUGGAAUGCGUAAUAAGUCUUCGCAAACCUCCACUCUAAUACAAACUUUUAUAUUCUGACCUCAAAUCAGGUAGGACUACCCGCUGAACUUAA
rnacentral:misc_RNA from 1 species